CACCCCUAAGAUCCCAACUUCAAUAAUAAUAAUAAUAAAUUAAUAACAAUAAUGACUAAAGCCGACAUUCUCGCUUCCGCUUCGUCCACCACUGCUUGCGCUGGUCCUUCACUCUAAGGCGGAACGCUCCCCUACCGAUAAAUUUUUACAUCCCACAGCUUCGGCAGAUCGCUUAGCCCCGUUCAUCUUCGGCGCAAGAGCGCUCGAAUAAUACCUAGGUUAAAUAACAAUUACACAAUAAGAGGAUUAAAUUCAAAUCUUUAUCAUCAUAAUAUGGCUUAAGACAAUUUAUCGUGAAGUGGGCGAGGUGUAAAACGGGGUGACUCAAAAUCACAACAUGGGGCAAUAGAAUUAAGACAAUUUAUCGUUAACGACAUCACCUAUUGAUGACAACCUUUUAGGGUAGUUGCCUUUUUUAGGAUUGUUUCUUAUUGAACGUCCCAACUUUGAGAAUUGAUUGUGAGCAAGGUUCUUUCUUUGAUUCGGUUUUAAGGGUAUUUAUGUUUAGGGUUCGGAAUAGUCACAGUUUGGUGUGUGUAAUUGGUGUUAGGUGUUUAAGGUUUUGGUAUGGUCACAGUUUGGUGUGUGUAAUUGGUGUUAGGUGUUUAGGGUUUUGGUAUGGUCACGAAUUGGGGGUGUAAUGAAUGUUAGGAUCACGAUUUGGUAUGUUAGGGGGUGAUUUAGUGAAGUUGAUGCAGGUAAGUUUUUAAGAACAUGGAUGGGGGAUAUGAGGGGGAAUGGUGCCACAAACACUAGGUGUUUGAUAAGCUGGUGAAGUUCGCCACAAGAAAUUGCUUUUCUUGAUAAGAACGGGUCUUGGCUAAACCAAGAAGCUAGGAAAACACUCACUAACAGAGAAUUAAAUCCAACAAAAUUUAAUUUAGUUUUAUUCAAUGAUGAUCACAAUUAUAUAUAGGGAACUAACAUGGAACAAUUCGGCCUUGACUUGUAGUUUGAAUGAAGUUUUUUAUAUGUUGGUCGAAUUCCUUGAGGUGCAAUAAGCCAUGUGUUUGAUUCAAAUUGUGAAUGACAUUGUUAGCCUUCUUAUCUUGUUUAUCCGAGUUGGUUGUGGAGCAAUUUGCCCUAGAUCUGGUCAUAGAAUCCACAUGCCACUUUAGUUGGAAGGCCCUUGAUUUAUGGUGGUUAAAUUUGGUGAAGAAUUCUUUUGAUCUCCACAAAAUCCUUUGGCCGAAUUUGAUGUGUGGAAUUUGUAUUCUACAUUAUCUUCAAGCCUUUGAUUUAGGUUAGUCAAAUUUGAGUAGUAGGAGAUUUGAUAUUUACUUGAUCUCCUUAUUAUCUUCAAGCCUCCAAUGCCUCCUUGAGUUUGAACCGUGCCAUCCUCAAGAUUUGACCAUGCCAACUUGAAUUUGAAUUCAAAUGCUCCUUCUAGCCGUGCCACAUGUGGUCUUGGCCUUGUCCAAAUGUUUUCAUACAAUUAACCAAAAACAACACACAAUUUAUUUGCUAAAAAAAAAUUAAUCAAUCAUAAAAGAAAUGACAUAAUUAAGAACUAAAAUCCAAUUAAAAUCCUAACUACUUAAGGAUUAAGACACUUCCCCCUUAUUUGGUUGUCCAAAGAAAAACUUGUUAUGAUGGCUCUUUCACCAAGCCAUGGCCUUCCCUUGGCUCCCCAUCUUGGAUGAUACAAUUAAUGGGCUUGGCCCCCUCCUUGACCCAAUUAGGACUUGAAUCCAUGAUGGCAUACAUGAGUUGCCUAAACACCUCUUGUGCCUUUUUGUCUUGGCCCUAGUCAUGGGUCUUCCCAUGCCACGAAAGGCCUCUUGGUUGAUGUUGGGCUCAACCAGGUUUACAUCACCUAUUGUGGAGCCUUGUUAGCAUAAUAGUUCACACUAUUAACAUCACCAUUUC
rnacentral:lncRNA from 1 species